rnacentral:lncRNA from 1 species
AUGCAGGGCUGGAAGCGGCCUGCGCCCGGGCCUCUCCCUGCCUCAUCGUGGGUUUAUUUUCAGGAGCUUCAAAGGACAGAAGCAUCUAAAGUAAUAGCUCCUCCUUUUGGGGUUUCUUUCCCAGGAGCUGGGGCGGAAGGGCCCGCUGCCCUCGCCCGGGAGCCUGGCCUUGUGGGUGCCUGGACUUCGCGGCCCUGCGUCCCCCUGCCGUCCCCACACUGCAAAGACCACAAGCUCCUGAGGGGAGGAACGGAACCAGCCAUUCGAAUUUUCUCAGGUUCCUCCUCCCCCGCUGCCGCCGGGGCCUAUGAAAUGCAUCUCGAGACUCCUGCAGAAGCCAGCUUUCUGCAGCCACCGUCAGAUCCCUGCGCAAUUUAUCUGGAUUCCGUCCGUGGUGGCCAGACUGGAUUUUGAUAAAGAGCCGCAAAUCUAUCCCUCUCCAGCUUCUGUGACUUGCCACACACUCCAUUCAAGCCGGAGCGUCCGCACAAUCCCUUGCAUAAUUUGGAGUUAAUCAUUUGUACUUCACAGCCUCUGAGAGGCCUCAGACUUGGGAGGUGGGGACAGAUUUGGCUUUUUAAUCGCCUUGUAUAUUGUGUAGCUUGAGAUAAAUGACACCGACUGUCUGAAAUCUACAUUCUUGCUUCUGAUGCAAAACUGUAAUUAAUUUUGUGCAGUGUUUCAGAAUUGAUCGUGGUCACUUGAAUUUCUAAUUUUUCAUUCACUUCAAAGACCCUGGGUUUUUUUUUUUUUUUUUUUUCUUUUUUCUUUUUCUUUUUUUUUUUUUUUUUCCUCCUCGCUCCCCUUUCCUUAAAGGAAUGUGCUCCGGGUUCCGGGCGCGCUCUUUGACGCUGGUUUGCUAAAUGAUUCUCUGCCGCCUCUUUUUCAAUAAGGUGAAACAGAGGUCAAGGCCUAUGGCUCGUGUUUAUCUCUUAGCUUGUAUUGCGACGUAUUUCCUGACCUGUAGGAAAUGCUAUCAAAACUUACUAAAUUAUAACGAAAUAGUUUGGCGGCACUUAUGUGUUGUAAAAGGCUCAAAAAGCUUCAUUCACACAUCCUAUUCACUAUAAGACAAUUAAGCACAAUUUAGGCAAUAAUUACCCUAAUUAACUACACUAUAAUGUUUGUAUUCGAGAUUAUGGCAACGUUGUAUCACUUCGCUCUUUAAAUAAUAACAAGGUUUCCUAAUUUCUCUGUAUUGAUAGUUGUUGUAUGUGAUUCUUUGUUUGGUGUAUUUCACUGUAAAAAUAUUUGUCAGUGAAAGAUUGAACAAUAUGAAUGAAUUUGAUUAUGCCAUUGUCAAAAGCCCCAUGCAUCACAAUCCCUUGUUUUUAAUCACUACUGUAAACCUUGCAGCCGGAGGGCAUAGUUUUAAUUUGGGUGUCUUACUAAUGAAAAGAAAAAAAUAAUUGUUUUGCCAGGAUUUAAUAAUAAGCAAUAAAAUCAGCCAACCAGAUUUUACCUCUGCAUUCAAUCUCUUUUUUAUUAUAAAACAUUUUUGUCCUUUUUUUAGAUUACAGGCGUAGAUACUGAACAUUUUACUAAUAAAUAUUUCAGUUUGCUUAUGGAGGCUAAUGCUGUCAUCUGAAUAUGGAAUUAUAUUUCUUUCAUGCUUCAUUAUCAUUUCAUGGUAGUAAUGACAGUGAGGGAAUGGAAUAUUUACAGGCUUUUCAGAAGACAUUUAUCCAAUACAUUCCCUGAAGGGCACCUAGGCUUAAAGAUACAUUAUCCUUUUGUAAAGCUCUGCCCAGAAUCCCAAUUCCUGAAUCAGCCAAUCAGAACUUUCUUUUUCCCCCUUCAGCACUUAACCCAGUGAUGAAACUUUCCUCCCCUCCACCCCCGCUGGUGGGCCAUCUAUCCGGGAAGUUUCGAGAAACAGUCAGGGGGAAAUGGGCCCGUGGCCUCAGUUUACACAGUCUGUGAAAUGGGCAUGUAGCUCCCUGUGACCUUGGGCCUUGGGCGGAACUUUGUUCCAGUUUUGUCUAAAGUGUUUCUCUUGCUUCAGUUAUUUCCUAGAUGGUUUUUCCAAGACUCUGGAGUUGCUUGUCUUAUUAACUGACGCUGCCGGCAGGGCCGUAGGUGGUAAACCUCAGGUCACAGGGGACCUAAAGGGGAAGCUAACCUGGGAUUAUGGUUUAGCACCACGGUUCUUCUGACGGAGGGCAGAAGUUGCCUGUGCUCCUGCUGUGGUCCUGGGGACCAAGGUCAGGGCCUCCCUGGUGCCCCUCAGGGCAGGCAUCACACCCGAGGCAGUUUGGGGACCACAGCCCACCGGCAAGCGUGUGCCCUCUCUGAGUCGGUGGCUCUUCCUUGGCUCCUCUAACAGCUGGAUGGAUGCAGAGGAUCCUCUGUUUGUUUUUUUAUUUUUUUAUUUUCUUAUUUAUUUAUUUAUUUAUUUAUUUAUUUAUCUAUCUAUUUUAUUUAUUUAUUUUAUUAUUAUUAUUAUUAUUUUUUGCAGAGAAACUAGAGAUCUGGAUUUUUCCUGUGAAAUUUCCUGAUUGUUCUAAAUAUUGGCAAUGAUUUCAAAUGUUCUCAAACCACUGUGCAAAUGAGAUAAGACCGUGGGCCGCGUUAGGGGCCGGGAGCUGCUAGGUUUGGGCCUGUGGUCGAGGGUCCUGAGUUGAGUGUGUGACAGAGUGACAGGGAGACGGAGGGGGUUGGCCGUCGUCCUGCCCCCGCUCACCUGGCUCUGGGGCCCGUGGGGCCCUGCUGCCUUGCCCUGGUCUCACUGUUCUCACCCCGUCACUUGUGGGGUGUGCUUUGCAAAGGCACUUAGUGGGUCGCCUUGUGGGACUUUGGUCCGUCCUGGAGAUGUUUCCCGUGGACACUUGGGGGCUUUUCCGGCGCUGUCGAUGCCCGUCUCCCCCUCCUCCACCCUCUGUUUCUCAGCCACAUAGCUGUUUGCUCCUGACCCUGGGCUUUCAGGGCCCUGGGGCCCAGCCACCCCUCCUGGGGGGUCCUGAGCUGCUCCCCAGCACAGGGUGUCUUUGGAGCUGUUCCCAGGCACCACUGCGGAGAUCGUGGGAGAAUAGUAGGUGCAGGGCCCGGGGGCUCCCGGGUGCUGGGCUGGGGGAAGCUCCCCUGGGGCCCUGCAGCGUGGGGCUCAUCCCCAAGGGCAGGUGCCAGUGACACGCUGCCGUGGUGCAGCCACUCCGGCCCUGUCGUGUCGCGGUGGGAGCUGGAGAUCUGCCCUGACGGGACCGAGCGGUGUGUGUGGGACCCCGGGCCCCGAGUGAGCUACCGCCGUGGCUCAGAUGGGUGCCCGGCCUGUCCCCCAGGGGCCAGUCCCGAACCUCCUCUUGCUGGCAGCCCCGUGCUCCCAAUUCAGAGGCGAAGAGUGAGGCUCAGGCUUUCCCUGGGGAGAGCGAGGACUGUUCCCCAGGCUUGUCCUUCUGCAGACAUGUCUAUAUUUAGGUUUCCAUAUGAUUAAGAGGCAACAAGAUGCGAGACUCUCUGGUCUAUGGAGAAGAUGAGUCAGUCUGGCCAUAAUUGAUUUGAAAAAGGAAGCAGGGCUGGCUCCCCCCCACCCCACCGAGUGCAUUAUGUUGUUCUGUUCCGGGAUUGCCGCCAGGCCAGGUGGGAGAGGAGGGCUCCCCAAACUUGCACCAUCUUCUAGAAAAAGCCCCAGCCAGGCCGUGCUGAGGUGCUGAGGUCCUGGGCUCUGGGAGCAGGAAGGGAUUUGUCAAGGGGCCCCCGACCCGGCCUUGGUAUCCAGCCCGAGAACACCCCCAGCUUCUGAUGUAGAUGUGGACCCUCCUCGACUCCAGUGAUUUGGGCUGUGAGCUCAGGGGGCAGCAGAGGGUGAGGGGAGCCGGAUGGAGGACGCUGGGGGGCCCCUGCGUGUGGGGGUCCUGAGUGCAGGGCCCGGGUUACUCUUCCCUCCCUGGUCACGCCCGGCUUCUGUGCAGAGCACUUUCGCAGAAACACUGUAGAUGGGGUCGCCGGAUGAAUUCUGGGGCAUCCAGUUAAAUCUGAAUUUCAGGUAACGCAUCCUUUUGUGUUUCAGACACCCGUGGGACCUCCUAACACUGAAUGUUUCCCUCCCGCCUUCCGCAUAUUUUAGUAUUUACUAACGGUACUUUCGCAUUUGCCAACAGUCCUUUAAAUAUAUGAGUGCGUGCCGUGCGUCUUUGGGACCUAUCUAUGCUGAGAACUUAUUUGUUGUUGAUCUGAAAUUGAAAUUUCACCAGGCAUCCCUGAACUUUUAUUUGCUAAACCGUGCGAACCCCGAGACCGUGCACCUGAGCUACGUGGGCUCCGCCCAAGGCUUGACCCUCUUUGCGGAGCUUACAGCUGUCUGUUUGGAAGCAGGGUGGCGGCUAUGCUGGGCACCGGUUGCCCCCCCUCCCCUGCACCCCCCAAAUGCUUAAGGCAGUCGUCCACGUUGCUCAUUGAAAAUCUCACUGGAUUUUUGUGAGCUGCUGAAUUUCUGCUUCAUCCAUUCCUAUCCCCGUAGAAUAAAGGAAGGGGCCACGCAGGACACCGGUG